AUCGAGGCUAGAGUCACGCUUGGGUAUCGGCU
rnacentral:piRNA from 1 species